CAUGAAGUUGGAAUUGCUAGUAAUCGCGGAUCAGCAUGCCGCGGUGAAUACGUUCCCGGGCCUUGUACACACCGCCCGUCACACCAUGGGAGCCGGUAAUACCCGAAGUCAGUAGCCUAACCGCAAGGGGGGCGCUGCCGAAGGUAGGAUUGGCGACUGGGGUGAAGUCGUAACAAGGUAGC
rnacentral:rRNA from 1 species